UACGUAGGCGGAAAAUUAAGUCAGUAGUGAAAUCCUGCAGCUUAACUGUAGAACUGUUAUUGAUACUGGUUUUCUUGAAUAUAGUUGAGGUAGGCGGAAUGUGUAAUGUAGCGGUGAAAUGCUUAGAUAUUACACAGAACACCGAUUGCGAAGGCAGCUUACUAAGCUAUGAUUGACGCUGAGGUACGAAAGCGUGGGGAGCGAACAGGAAUAGAUACCCUGGUAGUCC
rnacentral:rRNA from 1 species